rnacentral:rRNA from 1 species
UACCGCGUUGCCUCGGCGGGCCCACUGGGGCCUGGCCCCGGUCGCCGGGGGGCUUCUGCCCCCGGGCCCGCUCCCGCCGAAGCACCCUAGAACCCUGCCUGAACAGUGAGUCUGAGUGAGAUUUUAAAUCAUUAAAACUUUCAACAACGGAUCUCUUGGUUCCGGCAUCGAUGAAGAACGCAGCGAAAUGCGAUAAGUAAUGUGAAUUGCAGAAUUCCGUGAAUCAUCGAAUCUUUGAACGCACAUUGCGCCCCCUGGCAUUCCGGGGGGCAUGCCUGUCCGAGCGUCAUUUCUGCCCUCCAGCACGGCUGGGUGUUGGGCGCUGUCCCCCCGGGGACACGCCCCAAAAGCAGUGGCGGCGCCGCGUCGGGUCCUCGAGCGUAUGGGGCUCUGUCACCCGCUCGGGAGGGACUCGGUCGGCGCUGGUCUUCCCUUUAGGCCGCCCUUCGGGGUGCGCCUCUUCCGGUUGACCUCGGAUCAGGUAGGGCUACCCGCUGAACUUAAGCAUAUCAAUAAAGCGGAGGAAA